UCGCUUGGAUCCACGUUCGGAUGGACUGAGACGGAAUG
rnacentral:ncRNA from 1 species